GGAGGUACUCGAGUGGCGAACGGGUGAGUAACACGUGGGUGAUCUGCCCUGCACUUCGGGAUAAGCCUGGGAAACUGGGUCUAAUACCGGAUAGGAGCCAUUUUUAGUGUGAUGGUUGGAAAGUUUUUCGGUGUAGGAUGAGCUCGCGGCCUAUCAGCUUGUUGGUGGGGUAAUGGCCUACCAAGGCGGCGACGGGUAGCCGGCCUGAGAGGGUGGGCGGCCACAUUGGGACUGAGAUACGGCCCAG
rnacentral:rRNA from 1 species